rnacentral:rRNA from 1 species
CCGCCUGCCGCGUGUGUGAAGAAGGUCUUCGGAUUGUAAAGCACUUUANGUUGGGANGAANAGGCAGUAAAUUAAUACUUUGCUGUUUUGACGUUACCGACAGAAUAAGCACCGGCUAACUCUGUGCCAGCAGCCGCGGUAAUACANAGGGUGCAAGCGUUAAUCGGAAUUACUGGGCGUAAAGCGCGCGNAGGNGGUUCGUUAAGUUGGAUGUGAAAUCCCCGGGCUCAACCUGGGAACUGCAUUCAAAACUGACNAGCUAGAGUNUGGUAGAGGGUGGUGGAAUUUCCUGUGUAGCGGUGAAAUGCGUAGAUAUANGAAGGAACACCANUGGCGAAGGCGACCACCUGGACUGAUACUGACACUGAUGNGCGAAAGCGUGGGGAGCAAACAGGAUUAGAUACCCUGGUAGUCCACGCCGUAAACGAUGUCAACUAGCCGUUGGGAGCCUUGAGCUCUUAUUGGCUGCACCUAACCCAUUAAGUUGACCGCCUGGGGAGUCCGGCCGCAAGGUUAAAACUCAAAUGAAUUG